UCAUAUAGUACCCGACGAGUAACGUCUGUGUUUUGUCUGCCAGUAGCUGUGACGGCCAGUCAUAUAGUACCCGACGAGUAACGUCUGUGUUUCCCUCCCUGGUUCCAGCCAGUCAUAUAGUACCCGACGAGUAACGUCUGUGUUUUGUCUGUCAGUAGCUGUGACAGCCAGUCAUAUAGUACCCGACGAGUAACGUCUGUGUUUUGUCUGUCAGUAGCUGUGACAGCCAGUCAUAUAGUACCCGACGAGUAACGUCUGUGUUUUGUCUGUCAGUAGCUGUGACAGCCAGUCAUAUACAGUACCCGACGAGUAACGUCUGUGUUUUGUCUGUCAGUAGCUGUGACAGCCAGUCAUAUAGUACCCGACAGGUAACGUCUGUGUUUCCCUCCCUGGUUCCAGCCAGUCAUAUACAGUACCCGACGAGUAACGUCUGUGUUUUGUCUGUCAGUAGCUGUGACAGCCAGUCAUAUAGUACCCGACGAGUAACGUCUGUGUUUUGUCUGUCAGUAGCUGUGACAGCCAGUCAUAUAGUACCCGACGAGUAACGUCUGUGUUUUGUCUGUCAGUAGCUGUGACAGCCAGUCAUAUAGUACCCGACGAGUAACGUCUGUGUUUCCCUCCCUGGUUCCAGCCAGUCAUACAGUACCCGACCCUCCACACACUGGCUUUCUGCCUGCAUCCCAAAUGGCACCCUAUUCUCUAGGGCAGUGUUUGCCAACUCCGGUCCUCCAGUACUCCCAACAGCCCAACUCCGGUCCUCCAGUACCUCCAACAGCCCAACUCCAGUCCUCCAGUCCUCCCAACAGUGUUUUCCAACUCCAGUCCUCCCAACAGCCCAACUCCAGUCCCCCAACAGCCCAACUCCAGGCCUCCAGUCCUCCCAACAGUGUUUUCCAACUCCAGUCCUCCAGUACUCACAACAGCCCAACUCCAGUCCUCCAGUACCCCCAACAGCCCAACUCCGGUCCUCCAGUGUCCCCAAAAGUGUUUCCCAACUCCGGAUAGAAUAACCUCAACUAGGCUCUUCUGGCUCAUGUUACGCUCACUGACACACUCCAGUUACACAAUGAGUGGGUGGUACAUGGAGAAACAGAGUUGUUCCAGAAUGAGUACAUGGAGAAACAGAGUUGUUCCAGAAUGAGUACGUAGUACAUGGAGAAACAGAGUUGUUCCAGAAUGAGUACAUGGAGAAACAGAGUUGUUCCAGAAUGAAUAUAUGGAGAAACAGAGUUGUUCCAGAAUGAGUACAUGGAGAAACAGAGUUGUUCCAGAAUGAGUACAUGG
ensembl:lncRNA